CUUUUGGGCCACUUCAUGGUAGAGGGCGGAAGAGAAAACAUAGCUCAGGAAGAAAAUGUAAAAAUACUCUAUUGCCAGUUUUACGUGAAUGAGACUCUCUGGUCUGCUUUCCUGAUGGAGGAUCAACCUCAUUUCUUCAGAGGGCCAGAGGGUGAAUUAAAUGGAGACCUGAGGUAGUGGGACCACUACCUGGCCUGCUGGAGCUCCUUGAGUGUGGGGUUAAUCCUCCCCAUUACCUCUGGCAUAAGGAUCCACAGAGCCACCACCAAGGACUUGAGCCCUCUGUCUGUCAGUGACGACCACGACUCCCACUUCUGCAGUAGCUGGAUUCUCUGUGCAUGUGCCCCACCACAUUUCUGUGUCUCUGAGCACAACCAUCCUCCUCCUCAUCCUCAGAAGUGCCAGGCGGUCACGAGGGCCUUACGUACGUCAGCCAGGUUGCCCUCACCAUGCGUCCUCCACACAGCUCCAGUUGUUCACCCCAUUUUACAGAUAAACACAGACCGAGAGCCAAGUAUCUGCACAGAGGUGCCUAGAAAGUAGCAGAGCUGAACGUCAAGUCACGGGGUCCAGCUGUAGCCCUCAGGAGCGAACCACAUUCCUCCUGCCUUCUGAUCUGUAUGUUAGCUCAGCAGUAUGGGAGGGUUUUUAAGAAUCAUUAUUUCUUUUCACUCAA